rnacentral:rRNA from 1 species
CGGACGGGUGAGUAACACGUGGAUAACCUACCUAUAAGACUGGGAUAACUUCGGGAAACCGGAGCUAAUACCGGAUAAUAUAUUUAACCGCAUGGUUCAAUAGUGAAAGACGGUUUUGCUGUCACUUAUAGAUGGAUCCGCGCCGCAUUAGCUAGUUGGUAGGGUAACGGCCUACCAAGGCGAUGAUGCAUAGCCGAGUUGAGAGACUGAUCGGCCACAUUGGGACUGAGACACGGCCCAAACUCCUACGGGAGGCAGCAGUA